GCCAAUCCAUUUCUUCUUUCAAUUUCAACUUUCACAGUCUGGUUUGGGGAAUCUUUCUAUGGUUUGGGUUUCGGUUGAUUGGGCAUUUUGGGGAUUUCAUUAGUUUAUCCAAUCACCUCCUGAUUUCUAUCCUGAGAUUUGAGCCGCAAAUAGAGCUAAUUGCAACUAACAGAUAGUAUUGAUCACUAAACUUGAUUAAUCAACUUUAACAGAAAACAAUGGGCUUAAACAUGGUUAGCCGAAAAUAUAUAAUUUGAGGCUUUAAACAUUAAGCAGAAGUCAAGUUAGGGUUCUAGCCGAGAUUAACCAUGCUCUAGAUACCAAUAAUAGAUAUAAUUCCUUUAGAUUAACUUACACAUGAUCUUAAUAUCAUGAUUAGAACACCUCUUAUGCGGAAUAAUAGUGACUAACCGUGAUUGGCAGGAAUCAGCAGAAGAUAGCCUAUGGAUGCACCUUGGGGUCUCCGGCAGUGAAGACGUGCCCGGGGAAGAAGGGCAGCACCACCUGGGUGACGUAGAUGGCAGCAGGCGCUUGUGGAGAUGCAGCAGCUGGUCCAGGAGCCUCGCUGGUGGCAGCAGGAAACCGCCGGCACUGCCUUCAUGGCGGCCGAUGGUGGUCGAUGGUCUUCACAUACCUCACCACAUGUUUAGGAUCGGCAGUUGGGGGCUUUGUUCGUGGUUCUGUUAUUUGUAACAAAUCCCCCCUUUUCCUUAUAUAUGUGUGUGUGUUGGAUACAUGGGACCAAAACCAAAAGUUGUUAUAUGUGCUCCCGAUCAAGGCACAAUCGUGAGAGGGUGGAGACUUUGUCUCCCUUAUUUUUCUCUUGGUUUGUUUACCGUGAGAUCAAUUCCAACACGGUGAGGUUCUGGAGGCCGACCUCCUCCUGCCCGCCGCAAUCCCUGGCCCAGCUGAGGCCGAGGCCGAGGGCGGCGCCCUCCCAGUCCCACAUGCUGAGGGCGGGGAUCUUCCUGCCGCGGCUGAGGUCGACCUGCCCCCGCCCGCCGACGCCGAGGGCGGUGAUCUUCCUCCGGUGGAGCGCCUACCGGUCAAGCUGGUGGACACCUACAUCGAGAUGACCGGCGUCCGCGCGCAGGCGCAGGUUGUCUACCAGGGGUGGCAGCAGGCGCGCGCAGACACGCAGGAUCCUGUGGCCUGGAAGACCCUCGGGGCAAAGCUCGGGAUGGUCCUAAUUUCCAGGAUCAAAAGGCUUUUCUAACCCAUGUUGGCAACAUUAACAUAAAUGGGUAAAUGGUAAGCCUUAGUAAGCGGAACCGCAAAGACUUUAUAAAUCAAACAUCAUAGGUUUGAUCCUGGACUCUAUCUUUCACAACAGAAACAUAAUAUCAAUGGUUUUGGCAAUACCAAUUGACUUGUUGUUACUCAAAUAGAGAACUGCGUGUUCAUAUUGCAGUAUGUGGUUACAAAAUGUUGUCUGUCACCAUAAUUUCAGGAAUAAAACUUCUUGACAUACAACCUUCCCAAUAGCCUCUUAACAUGCCACAUAAGUAACUGCAUUAUUUUAAUGCCAUUAGUGUCAUUAUAGAGCUUUUCCACGAUAUAGCUCCAUGUGUGAGAGUGAGGAUGUAACAUAGCGUGGAAACUUCAAGAUCCACACAUCUCGCAGAAACAAUGUCUGAAUGUCUUAGGAUAUCGAAGAUAUUAGACUUCGUAUUAGUGAGCAUGUAAACUUUAUUGUCUUGCAUAUUUGUAAGACAUUUGGCGGCUUUUCCAGUGGUCCAUUUCUAGACUUACUUCUAUAUUUUCCAAUUAUCCCGAUCACAAAUAAGGGCAUGUUCAUACUUGAAUACACAUAUUGCUUCUGACAGUUGAAGCAUAAGGAACCGACAUUAUCUGAUCAGUUCAUAAUGGUUCCUUGGACACUAAAAUGUCCACCUUUAUUGCCCUUGACUUUAGUAGCAGGUGCAAUACGAGUACUACCACAUAAUAUAUUUUCUCUUUCGUACUCUAUCAAUCAAUCGUAUGUCUUCAUAAUAAAACUUAUACUCCUUUUGGACCUAUAUCUUGGCGAAACUCUAUACAUGCAAGGUAUGAGGCAUCACCAAGAUCCUUUAUGUCAUAAAUGGAAGAUAGAAAAUUCUUGGUUUGCCCAAAAUAUUCCAUCUCCACAAGGUACUGAUCUUACUCCCCCUCGUCUUAGAGUGUACCAACACUUGUACUAUUUCAUAAUUGAAUUUCUUGAGGUGACGUACCUUAUGUUAACUUUACCUAUUCGACCAAAACUUACGGUUGAGUCUACAUUCUUAACUUAUUCAACAGAAGAGCAUGUGAUAAUAAUAACACAAGUGUCAUAACAACUCAAGAGGAAAUGAUAUUGAGUUCCAUACACCGUUAGAGCUCAUUAUCACACAAGCAUCUAAGAUGAUCAUUCACACACAUUAUCAAUCAUAUGGAAAUUGUUAAGUCUCAACACUAAGUGUUGCAAUAUGUAUUUCCUCUCAACUUACCUCAUGCAUAUGAAGAAAGAUCUAAUGGAGUUAUCCUUAUGAUUCAUGUUCAUACGCUCCAGGUCCAUGAUGAUCACUUUAUUUAAAAAAUGGAAAACAUAUACAAAAUCUUGAUAAUGAUCAUUUCAGUCCUAAACCACAACACCGUUGGGCUGAAGAUGGAAAAGAACUUAAUGGAUUGUGACAAAUGAUUAUAAACGACGUUAGUCGGAAAUAUAACACGAGCCACGUGAUACUCACAAACUUGCCACUUAAGUGAAGUGUGACAUAUGAUUAUAAAUGACGUUGGUCAAAUAUAUAAUCAACACGUCACAUCAUGAUGGUCAUUACCCUAGCAAGCUUGCCACUUCAGCAUUCAUGUGUGCUUCAUAAUGCUUACAAGAGAGUAAGUUAACACUAACAUGAUAAAGGAGUCGUUUUUCAUUCAUUCUUCUAAAUAAGACUUGUUGCAUCUUAAUUAGAGAACCAACAUUAGAAUGUGUUUUUCAUAAAUUCUCCGACCAAGAUUUCUCGUUGGUUCCACCCUAAUUAGAGAAUUGGUAUACAUAUUUGCUUAGUUGUACAUGCUAUGAUCUAAGUAGGAGAAGUGAACGUAACAUCUCAUAUUAACUUAAAUGAGACUUCCAUUCUCCCCCUCAAAAUGUGGUCUAAAACCACAAUUUUGAUGAGGUCUCAUUAAUUACACUUCUCUUACAUCUUUAAUUAUAACAUAGCAUAUAAUGUUUACAAAUGAUCCAUUCGAAAAACAUACUGGUCUCACCCUAGGGUGGGACUAACAUUACAUUAUUAGAGCUGACUUGAUAUCAUACAAAAUCAUGUCAUCUGUUCGAGACAAAGUUAAGGUUCUCCAAUAACUAGGAGCAUUAGAAAACAUCAUCAAUAAGAUUAAGUCAUCUCCAAAAGCUAAUGGAACAAAUCCAAUAGUUUUGACUUUAAUCUUCUUUAUAUUAUUAAUGUGCAUGAUUGCACAUGUGUCUUGAGAUCUCUCCCAAUGUCUGCCUUAUCAUCAUGAUUAACAUCCUUCAACCUUGGUGGCAGAAAAAAGUUUGGAGAUUCCUAAAUGAGACGAUGAUCUCCACUCUCCAUGUGGGGAAGUUAUUUACAGAAGGUUCGUCUAUGCCAAAACGAAAGUUUGGCAUCAUUAUUAAUGUUCAUUGCUAAAAAAGAGACAACAGUAUGAGCAUCGCAACAAAACAUCAAGCAUGAAUUAACCAUGCAAUGAGAUGAAUCAAAGAGAUGCUUAGAUUUUAUUCUAAUCCAUAUUCAUGAAUGGCACAUGAAAAUAAUCAACGCUGGUCGGAAUAUCAUCAUAUGCCAUUAUAACUUGUUUUUUCUUAAUUAAAUCUCUAAUCAAAACAUCUCGUUGGUUCCAUUUUGACUAGAGAGUCAUAAAAUCACAUAAUUACAAGCAAAAACUUUGGCUAAAUUAAUAGCUAACAUUAACAUAAAGUAACAACACAAAACCUUGUUUGCCAUACACAAUGAUACCUUUUGUCACUAAAGUUGACACUGCUAAUAACAUUGAACACAAGUGUCAAAAUUACCAUUAAAGUUCCUAAUGACAUAAAUGAAAAUGACAUUGAAUUUAACAUGAACAUAAAACAAGGUCAUUGCCAACAUUAAAACUGACAUUUGGAGUGAAAAUGACAUUAACAUUACCAUGAGGGUAUCAUAAGAUUUUCCAAAUAAUAAAAUUUGGACAUAAAGUUACAUAAGAAUUCACCAAAUAAUAAUAUUGGGUAAACUAUAACGGUCAAAUAAAUGGCAACAUGUACUUUGUAUAGAUUCCUCAAUAAUGUCGCAUACUGACUAGGGUACAUAUCACAGAAAAUUCUUUAAACAAAAUUCCUUUGCUAAGGGAAUUGUGAUCAUAAUUCAUAAACAUCAUUUUGGACCAUUAUGAAUAUUUAAGCGGUGCAUAUAACAAAAAGGCAUAAAAUGCACCAACCAAAAGCUUUAGUUUUGCCCAAUAGUCAUAUUUUCUAACAUUAUUAUGAUGCAUAGUGCGAUGCGGAAAACCGAACCAUACGACUAUCAAUAUCAUCCUUGAGGAGGCCUCAGCCAUUUAGAAAUGAUCACAUCAUUAAGAAAAGUCACAAGGAUGGUAUCAACAUAAACAUCACACUCAAUUAAAAUUUCCACAAAAAAUAUCAUAGAAACUUUAGGGAAUAAAACAUUAUAAAUUGUGAUUAAAUAAAUAUCAUUUCACAACAUUAAUGUUCGAACUCAAAAGAAAUGACACAAAGAAAUAUCAUCAUUUAAAAUGCCAUAAAUGACAUUAACGUUAUACCACGUUAAUAUUUUCCAAAUAAAAUUUCUCAUCAGUCCAUUUUAUUAAGAAAAUUCAAAGAUUAUCUUUACAACCUGUUUUCUGGCUAUCUUCAAUUUAUAUUAGUGCAAAAUUAUUUGGAGGAUAAUCAUAUUUUAGAAAUGCACUGAAUAAAAAAAAUUGCACAGAACUUCAAUUUUAGCUCACAAUACCCACGGCUGCCCAUUCAAACUUUGUCCCAGCAGAGAAAAACAUUAAAAAAAACUUUUCUGCUGGCUAAAAAGACUUGGGCCAUAGCCCACUGAUGCAUUUGGCCUGUUAAGCGUCCGCAGCCGCCCUGAGCACUUCAUCGAUCUCGAUCGUCCGAUCAAACCGACGGGCCAGAUCAGCCCUAGGAGGAACAAAACGGUGCUGGGUCAAACCCUAGCGUCAUUUCCCCUCUUCUCCCUGAUUUUGCUGCUCCCGCAGAACAGAUGACACCGGCGGCGAUCCGAGGCACGCCGGCUAUGGCGGUGCGGCAGCCCCGUUCGUCGGAGCAGCGUGCCUGGCUCAAGGCCGCACGCUCCUCCACCGAAUGGUGCUAGCCGUGUCAACCUCAUGGUGCGCAGGGAGCUAGUCCGUGCCGGCGACGCGCACGAGGCGCUCGACGGCGAGGCGGGGAGGCGACCGCCGGCGCCUGAUCUCUGGUAGUCGAUGACGACGACGUGCGCGGCAUAGGGGCCGCGCAACGUUCGCGUCCAUAAGGCGUCGCCGCCGGCCAUUUCUUUCCGCGCGUCGUCCCGUGAGACAGCGGCGUCGCCGGUGUUGGGACCCCGAAGGAGAGCACCGGCACGGCGUCAUUAGGUGAAGGCCAAUCCAUUUCUUCUUUCAAUUUCAACUUUCACAGUCUGGUUUGGGGAAUCUUUCUAUGGUUUGGGUUUCGGUUGAUUGGGCAUUUUGGGGAUUUCAUUAGUUUAUCCAAUCACCUCCUGAUUUCUAUCCUGAGAUUUGAGCCGCAAAUAGAGCUAAUUGCAACUAACAGAUAGUAUUGAUCACUAAACUUGAUUAAUCAACUUUAACAGAAAACAAUGGGCUUAAACAUGGUUAGCCGAAAAUAUAUAACUUGAGGCUUUAAACAUUAAGCAGAAGUCAAGUUAGGGUUCUAGCCGAGAUUAACCAUGCUCUAGAUAUCAAUAAUAGAUAUAAUUCCUUUAGAUUAACUUACACAUGAUCUUAUUCUUGUGAUUAGAACACCUCUUAUGCGGAAUAAUAGUGACUAACCGUGAUUGGCAGGAAUCAGCAAGAGAUAGCCCAUGGCUCCACCUUGGGGUCUCCGGCAGUGAAGACAUGCCCGGGGAAGAAGGGCAGCACCACCUGGGUGACGUAGAUGGCAGCAGGCGCUUGUGGAGAUGCAGCAGCUGGUCCAGGAGCCUCGCUGGUGGCAGCAGGAAACCGCCGGCACUGC
rnacentral:lncRNA from 1 species